rnacentral:tRNA from 1 species
GACCCGGUGGUCAAGCGGUACGACGCUGCUGGCAAUUGCCUGGCAGAAUCCCCGGUUCAACUCCGGGCCGGGUCA